GACAGAGGGGGCAAGCGUUGCUCGGAAUUACUGGGCGUAAAGCGUGCGCAGGCGGCUUUGCAAGACAGAUGUGAAAUCCUCGGGCUUAACCUGGGAACUGCAUUUGUGACUGCAUGGCUGGAGUGCGGCAGAGGGGGAUGGAAUUCCGCGUGUAGCAGUGAAAUGCGUAGAUAUGCGGAGGAACACCGAUGGCGAAGGCAAUCCCCUGGGCCUGCACUGACGCUCAUGCACGAAAGCGUGGGGAGCAAACAGG
rnacentral:rRNA from 1 species